rnacentral:rRNA from 1 species
UACGAAGGGGGCUAGCGUUGCUCAGAAUCACUGGGCGUAAAGCGCACGUAGGCGGAUUGCUAAGUCAGGGGUGAAAUCCUGGAGCUCAACUCCAGAACUGCCUUUGAUACUGGCGAUCUCGAGUCCGGGAGAGGUGAGUGGAACUGCGAGUGUAGAGGUGAAAUUCGUAGAUAUUCGCAAGAACACCAGUGGCGAAGGCGGCUCACUGGCCCGGUACUGACGCUGAGGUGCGAAAGCGUGGGGAGCGAACAGG